GGGGCCAUAGCUCAGCUGGGAGAGCGCUUGACUGGCAGUCAAGAGGUCGACGGUUCGAUCCCGUUUGGCUCCACCA
rnacentral:tRNA from 1 species